rnacentral:rRNA from 1 species
GAAUGCUGACAUAAGUAACGAUAAAGCGGGUGAAAAGCCCGCUCGCCGGAAGACCAAGGGUUCCUGUCCAACGUUAAUCGGGGCAGGGUGAGUCGACCCCUAAGGCGAGGCCGAAAGGCGUAGUCGAUGGGAAACGGGUUAAUAUUCCCGUACUUGGUGUUACUGCGAAGGGGGGACGGAGAAGGCUAUGUUGGCCGGGCGACGGUUGUCCCGGUUUAAGCGUGUAGGUGUGUGUUCCAGGUAAAUCCGGUUCACUUUAACACUGAGGCGUGAUGACGAGGCACUACGGUGCUGAAGCAACAAAU